rnacentral:rRNA from 1 species
ACGGGAGGCAGCAGUGGGGAAUAUUGGACAAUGGAGGAAACUCUGAUCCAGCGACGCCGCGUGAGUGAAGAAGUAUUUCGGUAUGUAAAGCUCUAUCAGCAGGGAAGAUAAUGACGGUACCUGACUAAGAAGCCCCGGCUAACUACGUGCCAGCAGCCGCGGUAAUACGUAGGGGGCAAGCGUUAUCCGGAUUUACUGGGUGUAAAGGGAGCGUAGACGGCAUGGCAAGUCUGAUGUGAAAACCCGGGGCUCAGCCCCGGGACUGCAUUGAAAACUGUCAGGCUAGAGUGCAGGAGAGGUAAGUGGAAUUCCUAGUGUAGCGGUGAAAUGCGUAGAUAUUAGGAGGAACACCAGUGGCGAAGGCGGCUUACUGGACUGUAACUGACGUUGAGGCUCAAAAGCGUGGGGAGCAAACAGGAUUAGAUACCCUGGUA